UACGUAGGGACCAAGCGUUGUUCGGAUUUACUGGGCGUAAAGGGCGCGUAGGCGGCGUGGUAAGUCAGCCUGUGAAAUCUCCGAGCUUAACUCGGAACGGUCAGCUGAUACUGCUGUGCUAGAGUACAGAAAGGGCAAUCGGAAUUCUUGGUGUAGCGGUGAAAUGCGUGAGAUAUCAAGAGGAACACCUGAGGCGAAGGCGGGUUGCUAGGGCUGAUACUGACGCUGAGUGCGCGAAAGCUAGGGUAGCAAACGGG
rnacentral:rRNA from 1 species